GGGAUUGCAAAUGUUCCUGUGCCAGUAACAUGCUAUUUUUCAGCUCCAAAAGAACUGUCUGUAAUGCAGAAAUGAAGUGAUUUACCCAGCAGAAAAUAAGCGUUGCUGCUGUAUUGUUUUUGGCAGGAGUUGGUGGUUCAUCAUUUGGACACAUCAGCCCAUGCAUUGUCUCCCCAGAAGUAUACCUGCAACCACCUAAGAGCCCAAGCCUGUAAGAUCUGAAACCUUUUGCACAGUAUGUGGUUGGCUGAGGGACCAGAGAAGCCAGCUGUGCAGCUCAGUUCCUCUCUCUUCACAAGCAGAGUUUCCUAGUUGAGGUGCUUUCCUCCUCCUCUAUCUUCAGCUGCUCCAAAGGAUGCCUGGAACAAAACGGCCUUCAAAUGCUUCUCUCUGCUAACACUAGCAAGGGUGUUCUGCCAAUUCCUACCUCAGCUCCCCUUGAUCUGGGUCCUGGAAACUCAGCGAGUGCUGUGUCCUGAAGCUAGGAGCCACGGAGACAGGCAUUCUGACUGCACACUGCCUCUGUGCCUAGAUGAGCUGUCAUUGGGCACGAGAAGGAGAAAAGAGACUGCAAAAAACAAGAGGGAUAAAACGACAUCAUCCGGAGGGAAAAGACCAGAUAAUUACCCACAUUUCCCAGCAUGAGGGUGGAAUAACCAGGUGGACCAAACUGUCAAAACAAUUAUCUACUGAACUGCAAUGACGAUGAUGAGAGAGAACUCCUUUGCUAACAACUGCCAAGAUGCAGAGCAUGCUCAGACUACACUCAAAGCCCUAUGUCA
rnacentral:lncRNA from 1 species